rnacentral:rRNA from 1 species
GACGAACGCUGGCGGCGUGCUUAACACAUGCAAGUCGAACGGAAAGGCCCUGCUUUUGUGGGGUGCUCGAGUGGCGAACGGGUGAGUAACACGUGAGUAACCUGCCCUUGACUUUGGGAUAACUUCAGGAAACUGGGGCUAAUACCGGAUAGGAGCUCCUGCUGCAUGGUGGGGGUUGGAAAGUUUCGGCGGUUGGGGAUGGACUCGCGGCUUAUCAGCUUGUUGGUGGGGUAGUGGCUUACCAAGGCUUUGAUGGGUAGCCGGCCUGAGGGGGUGACCGGCCACAUUGGGACUGAGAUACGGCCCAGACUCCUACGGGAGGCAGCAGUGGGGAAUAUUGCACAAUGGGCGGAAGCCUGAUGCAGCAACGCCGCGUGCGGGAUGACGGCCUUCGGGUUGUAAACCGCUUUCGCCUGUGACGAAGCGUGAGUGACGGUAAUGGGUAAAGAAGCACCGGCUAGCUACGUG